AUUUACAUGAAUUUACACAUUUCCUGAAAUUCUGAGCCAAAAACUUGUCAAAUUGCUUAAGAUACAGCUCAAGAUACAACCACUAGUAAAUCGGGUCACUUACUACCCUUAGAUUGCAUGUGCUGACUUCAAAAUCCAAUAACUCCUUCAUUUUAACUUGGAAUCCAGUAAGCAGUAUGCAAAAAGUGUAGCCGCAAAAGUGCUCUCUUCAGCUGGAGUCGCCGAUCCUCAAUUGCCCUCUAUAUGCAUGCGUUAUGUCAAAAAGAGUGACAGUAGCUCCCA
rnacentral:lncRNA from 1 species